CAGUCGCCGCGGUAAUACGUAGGGUGCAAGCGUUAAUCGGAAUUACUGGGCGUAAAGCGUGCGCAGGCGGUUAUAUAAGACAGAUGUGAAAUCCCCGGGCUCAACCUGGGAACUGCAUUUGUGACUGUAUAGCUAGAGUACGGCAGAGGGGGAUGGAAUUCCGCGUGUAGCAGUGAAAUGCGUAGAUAUGCGGAGGUACACCGAUGGCGAAGGCAAUCCCCUGGGCCUGUACUGACGCUCAUGCACGAAAGCGUGGGGAGCAAACAGGAUUAGAUACCCCUGUAGUCCUGUCUCUUAUACA
rnacentral:rRNA from 1 species